rnacentral:tRNA from 1 species
GCUCCCGUGGCGGAAUUGGCAGACGCGCAUGGUUUAGGACCAUGUCUCGCAAGAGGUAGAGGUUCAAGUCCUCUCGGGAGCACAA